GCUCACGUGGCGGAACUGGUAGACGCGUGCGCUUGAGGGGCGUAUGUCUUAGGACGUGGAGGUUCGAUUCCUCUCGUGAGCA
rnacentral:tRNA from 1 species